UUCAAAGCUUAUUGUGGUAAGGUGUUCAUCCGGAAGGUGUGUGACAGACUAACCAAUCACAUCUUCUGUUACUUUCAAGCUACGUAGAAGCACAUGUGUUGGUGUGUAGCUCUUAUUGGCGGCAGAAUUUAAGUGAGCAGUGCUCAUUACUUCUAAUCACUACCUUAGAAAAAAAAACACGAAGGAUCUAGAAUAAUCUAGAUUUAAUACUAUAUAUCCAGAAUAGUCCACAGAUCUAGGUGAAGUCAUCUGAGCUCGAUUUCUUAAUCUUUGUUAAAUCUAAUUGAAUGGAGAAAGUAAAUCUAGAUCUAGUUUCGUCUAGAGUCUAAAUAUAGAUUAGAUCUAGAAUCUAGUCUAGGUCUAUUUGAAAGUAUUUGCCGUAGUAGAUGGUGAUGCACUCUUUUGCUCUAGAAAUAGAACAUCCUACAGAUGAAUGAAACCAGCACCUUUGGGCUUGAAAACUACUGCAGCAAGUGUAUCUCUAAAAAUAUUUGUAUGAGGUCAAGUUGUGAAGUACAUCCUAGCACUGUGCAAUCACGUUGCAGAGCACAAUCGAUCUUUAGCAUACAGUUGAAUGGAACAAUUAUCUACUUAGAACAAACUAUAGAAGCUACAUGUCCACAAGUUGUUUUUUUCC